rnacentral:rRNA from 1 species
UAGGGAAUCUUCCGCAAUGGGCGAAAGCCUGACGGACCAACGCCGCGUGAGUGAUGAAGGUCUUCGGAUCGUAAAACUCUGUUAUUAGGGAAGAACAAAUGUGUAAGUAACUAUGCACGUCUUGACGGUACCUAAUCAGAAAGCCACGGCUAACUACGUGCCAGCAGCCGCGGUAAUACGUAGGUGGCAAGCGUUAUCCGGAAUUAUUGGGCGUAAAGCGCGCGUAGGCGGUUUUUUAAGUCUGAUGUGAAAGCCCACGGCUCAACCGUGGAGGGUCAUUGGAAACUGGAAAACUUGAGUGCAGAAGAGGAAAGUGGAAUUCCAUGUGUAGCGGUGAAAUGCGCAGAGAUAUGGAGGAACACCAGUGGCGAAGGCGACUUUCUGGUCUGUAACUGACGCUGAUGUGCGAAAGCGUGGGGAUCAAACAGG